CACGGUGGGCCCGUCCACUAUGUCGCGCCAGGCGCGGCACACUGGACGGCAUCGCGUGACCAAGGCGCGUGGAGGCACGUGGCUCAGAACCUGCACCAGCAGCUCCGGGGGCAGCGCGUCCAGGGCCAGGGACGGGUCCGCCGGCAGCCGUCGCCGCGAGAGCCGGGCGCCCAUCUCUAGCAGCCGGAGUCCUGCAGGUGUGAGCCACCAUGCCCAGCCCCGACAUCAUCUUUAUUCCUACUGCAGAAAGAAUGAAGUUGUGGAGACAGACUUGACAAAGACCAAGCUGUGCUUUUCUCCAGGUGGUUCUGAGUUGCAUUAAUAGUUCACUGAGGCCCGGUGCUUGAACCCAGGAGGCAGAGGUUGCAGCGAGCUGAGAUCACACCACUCACUGCACUUCAGCCUGGGUGACAGAGCGACUCUGUCUCAAAAAUAAAUAAAUAAUUCCCUGAGGUUUAUAAACAAGUCUACCAGCCUGCCUGGCAUGGAUGUGAUGCUCA